AUGGAUGGCUAUGAAGCUACAAAGAUAGUUUUAUCAAGAAUUCAAAGUUUGGAUCCAGAAAAUGCUUCAAAAAUUAUGGGGUAUAUACUGAUACAAGAUCAAGGGGAGAAGGAGAUGAUAAGAUUAGCUUUUGGUCCAGAAACCCUUUUGGUUUCUUUGAUAAAUCAAGCUAAAACUUGUUUAGGAAUUUCAUCAAACAAUUCAUCUGCAAUGUCAAAAUUGAAUCUUUUUCAUCAAUCUUCACCAAGAAUCAUCAUUCCUAACAAUGGGUUUCCUUCUUCUUCUUCACCUUCUUCACCUUCUCCUUGGUCUACUAAUGGGUCACCAGUUUUUACAAGAAGUCCUAGACCAUUGGCUUCACCAGUAGGAGGAGGAGGAGGGGGGUCUAGUUCACUUUCUUAUGCUGCUGUGGUGAAUGGUUCUACUAAUUCUGUUUCUGGGGGUUCAACUACUUCACUGUCACUCCCUUUUUAUGACCCAAAUAAUGAUGAGUAUGGUGGUAGUGUUCAACAAGCUCAAGUUCAAGAACACUUGUCUUUUCUUGAUGAAUCAUUGGAUCCAAUUAUGAGUCCUAGUGGAAGAAGUGAUUCUUUGGUUUUCCCUUAUGGGAAUUGUGAGGAAACCCCUCAUCUUCAUCGUAGGAGUUGUUCAGUCAAUGAUGUUUUUCUUGGUGGUUCAGAUGAUGGUGGUGGUGGGUUUGGUUGGAGGCCUUGCAUGUAUUUUGCUAGAGGGUUUUGCAAAAAUGGGAAUAGUUGCAAGUUUAUGCACAGUGGAUUUCCUGAUUCUUCUUCUUCACCAGAUGCUAUUGUUGGUUCUCCUAGUAAAGUUGACUCUGUUGAGGAUUUCUUGAGGAUGAAGGCUUUACAACAGCAGCAGCAACAGAGGUUUGCUGCUGCCUCUCUUAUGGCUUCUGGUGCUCAUCACCAUCCAAUUGCUUACAACAAAUGCAUCAACAUCUUGAAUGAUAACCAAAGAUCAGCUGCUGCGACAUUUAUGAUGGGUGAAGAAUUCCACAAAUUCGGUAGGUGCCGUCCUGAUAGAAAUGAUUUUUCAGCAAUGGCGUUGGGUGGCAUCUCAAGUUCAAGUUCACGACAAAUUUACCUAACAUUUCCUGCGGAUAGCACAUUUAAGGAGGAGGAUGUGUCUAACUACUUUAGUAUGUAUGGGCCUGUCCAAGAUGUUAGAAUUCCAUAUCAGCAGAAGCGAAUGUUUGGAUUCGUUACAUUUAUCUACUCUGAAACUGUUAAGAUGAUCUUGGCUAAAGGAAACCCACAUUUUGUGUGUGAUUCUCGGGUACUUGUAAAGCCCUACAAAGAAAAGGGAAAAAUCGCGGAUAAGAAGCAGCUUCAGCAACAACAACAUCCAAUUGAUAGAGGAGAUCUGUCGACCUGUUUAAGCCCAUCAGCUCUUGAAUCUAGGGAGCCGUUUGACCUUCCCUUUGGAGCAAGAAUGUUAUAUAAUUCACAUGAGAUGAUGUUGAGAAGAAAAAUAGAGCAGGAGGCUGAAUUACAGCAAGCCAUCGAACUUCAAGGCAGAAGGUUAAUGAAUUUGCAACUGCUGGACCUGAAGAAUCAACAUCGCAAUGAUCACUUCCCACCCAGCCUCUCUCCUGGUCUUCCAACGGCCUCCCAGAUGCAGUUUCACUCUCCAAACAAUCACAAUCUUGUUCCUGUGUUGAAUGACAUUGAUCAAGAAGUCCCUGCAGAAAGUAACAAUACUCAUGAAGCUACCAACGCCCCCCAUAAUGCAGCUGAUGAAAAGGUGCCUCAAGAAAUGCUGCCUACUGAUUUUGGGCAUGGAAGUAGCAGCAAGGAGCAGCGCUCCAAUAUUGACAACUCUAAUCUUCAAGAAAGCUUCGAGCAUAUCCUUCCCGAUAACCUUUUUGCUUCUCCUACAAAGUCAGCUGCAGAAAACCAGGCCGCGUUCUCCACUGAUUCAGCUGAAGCUGGCGUUAGUUCUCCAAUAACUACUGCUACUUCUAACAAUAAUAUCCCUAUGCUUCCUACGACAACUACCCUCAACAUGGCUUCUCUUAAAUCAUGUUACUUCCACAGGCCAAGCCAUUGAAAUGUAGGUGUUAAGAGUUGUGCAUGGCUAGCUAGGAGGGAUUAACUUAGAAAAACGCAUGAGUAGUAGCAUAUACAAGAAGUAAAAGUCCUCUAGCUGUAUAGCCAAACAAUACCCUCAACAGAAGAAAAGAUCGAUCUACCGGUAAGGAAGAUAUUCUCAAGAUUGUUGUCAUCAUCAAUACCAUACUACUUACAACAAAUACAUAAAUGUAUACAUAAAGGACAGAUGAACUGAUUAAUGGGAGUGGGGUCUCUCUCUCUCUCUAUAUUUUGUACCCUCUUUGUAGUUGUGUGCUGGACCACACUGAACAAUAGCAAAAAUUAAAGGCAGGCUAGUAGUAACCCCUUAGUUAUGAUGGUAAUUUCCUCCCUUUUCUCUGCUUUUACUGUUGUAACUUGCUAUGAUGUAAAAAAUUGAAGUCGAAAAAAUGAAAAUGUCUUUUAGAUCA